CAGCCUGGUAGCUCGUCGGGCUCAUAACCCGAAGGUCGUCGGUUCAAAUCCGGCCCCCGCAACCA
rnacentral:tRNA from 1 species